UACAGAGGUCCCAAGCGUUGUCCGGAAUUAUUGGGCGUAAAGAGCUCGUAGGUGGCUUGUCACGUCGGGUGUGAAAGCUUGGGGCUUAACUCCAGGUCUGCAUUCGAUACGGGCUGGCUAGAGGUAGGUAGGGGAGAACGGAAUUCCUGGUGUAGCGGUGAAAUGCGCAGAUAUCAGGAGGAACACCAAUGGCGAAGGCAGCUCUCUGGGACGGUACUGACACUGAGACGCGAAAGCGUGGGGAGCGAACAGG
rnacentral:rRNA from 1 species